rnacentral:rRNA from 1 species
AGCAGCCGCGGUAAUUCCAGCUCCAAUAGCGUAUAUUAAAGUUGUUGCAGUUAAAAAGCUCGUAGUUGAAUUUCGGGGUCAGUAGGUUGGUCGUGCCACUGGUAUGUACUGGCCUUACUGAUUCCUCCUUCCUGAUGAACCGUAAUGCCAUUAAUUUGGUGUUGCGGGGAAUCUGGACUGUUACUUUGAAAAAAUUAGAGUGUUUAAAGCAGGCUAACGCUUGAAUACAUUAGCAUGGAAUAAUGGAAUAGGACGUUCGAUUCUAUUUUGUUGGUUUCUAGGAUCGACGUAAUGAUUAAUAGGGAUAGUUGGGGGCAUUAGUAUUCAAUUGUCAGAGGUGAAAUUCUUGGAUUUAUUGAAGACUAACUACUGCGAAAGCAUUUGCCAAGGAUGUUUUCAUUAAUCAAGAACGAAAGUUAGGGAUCGAAGACGAUCAGAUACCGUCGUAGU